UAAACAUUUUAAGCAAAGUGGUCAAAUUGAAAACAUUACUGAAUAUCAAAUAUUGUGUCCUGAUAGUUAAAAUUAUUUAGAAUAGAAUUAUUAUUUAGACAUUAAAUUUACUUAGAAUUUCCUAAAAGAUUCACACAUUAAUGACUUAUUUUGACAGUCCAUACUGGUUUCUGAAGAAACUGGUUCAGAUUAAGGGAAGUUUAAACUUGAUCAUGGUAAUGGCACACCUACAAUUUCUGCAUGCAUUCACAGAGAGUGUAGAGUGAGUAUGUAUAGGGCCAUGUCUUAGUAGUAACCUGGCCACAGCACUGGCCUUUUCUGGAAGUCACAGAAACAGCACAUUGCAUGGUACAAGAUAGAUGAGACUAGUGUUUAUAAUCAUGGUGGGUGUCCACUCAAGGAGAUCAGACAGAACAG